GCUUUCGUGGUGUAGUGGUUAGCACACUCAGCGCGAAUUCGAGAUGUCCUUGGUUCGAGUCCCGGCGAGGGCA
rfam:Stegodyphus mimosarum contig122127, whole genome shotgun sequence.